GUGAGGAAUAUUGGACAAUGGGCGCAAGCCUGAUCCAGCCAUGCCGCGUGCAGGAAGACGCAUCUAUGGUGUGUAAACUGCUUUUGUACGGGAAGAAACACUCCCUCGUGAGGGAGCUUGACGGUACCGUAAGAAUAAGGAUCGGCUAACUCCGUGCCAGCAGCCGCGGUAAUACGGAGGAUCCAAGCGUUAUCCGGAAUCAUUGGGUUUAAAGGGUCCGUAGGCGGUUUAAUAAGUCAGUGGUGAAAGCCCAUCGCUCAACGAUGGAACGGCCAUUGAUACUGUUAGACUUGAAUUACAAGGAAGUAACUAGAAUAUGUAGUGUAGCGGUGAAAUGCUUAGAUAUUACAUGGAAUACCAAUUGCGAAGGCAGGUUACUACUUGUGGAUUGACGCUGAUGGACGAAAGCGUGGGGAGCGAACAGGAUUAGAAACACCUGUAGUCC
rnacentral:rRNA from 1 species